rnacentral:rRNA from 1 species
UACAGAGGUCUCAAGCGUUGUUCGGAUUCAUUGGGCGUAAAGCGCGCGCAGGCGGUCUUCCAAGUCAGUGGUGAAAGCCUGGAGCUCAACUCCAGAACUGCCAUUGAAACUGUUAGACUUGAGUACGAGAGAGGUGAGUGGAAUUCCCAGUGUAGAGGUGAAAUUCGUAGAUAUUGGGAAGAACACCAGUGGCGAAGGCGGCUCACUGGCUCGUAACUGACGCUCAGGCGCGACAGCGUGGGGAUCAAACAGG